rnacentral:rRNA from 1 species
ACGGUCCUAAGGUAGCGAAAUUCCUUGUCGGGUAAGUUCCGACCCGCACGAAAGGCGUAAUGAUUUGAGCACUGUCUCGACAAUGCAUCCGGUGAAAUUGAAGUACCAGUGAAGAUGCUGGUUACCCGCGCCAGGACGGAAAGACCCCAUGGAGCUUUACUCCAGUUUGAUACUGGGAUUCGGUACUGCAUGUACAGGAUAGGUGGGAGACGAAGAAGGAUGGACGCCAGUCUGUCCGGAGUCGCUGUUGGGAUACCACCCCUGUAGUACUGGGUUUCUAACCAGUCACCGUGAACCGGUGAUGGGACAAUGUCAGGCGGGGAGUUUGACUGGGGCGGUCGCCUCCGAAAGGGUAUCGGAGGCGCUCAAAGGUUCCCUCAGAAUGGUUGGAAACCAUUUGAAGAGUGCAAAGGCAGAAGGGAGCUUGACUGCGACACCGACGGGUGGAGCAGGUACGAAAGUAGGACUUAGUGAUCCGGUGGUAUAAAGUGGGAUUGCCAUCGCUCAACGGAUAAAAGCUACCCUGGGGAUAACAGGCUUAUCACUCCCAAGAGUUCACAUCGACGGAGUGGUUUGGCACCUCGAUGUCGGCUCAUCGCAUCCUGGGGCUGUAGCAGGUCCCAAGGGUUGGGCUGUUCGCCCAUUAAAGCGGUACGCGAGCUGGGUUCAGAACGUCGUGAGACAGUUCGGUCCCUAUCCGGCGUGGGCGUAGGAUAUUUGAGAGGAGCUGUCCUUAGUACGAGAGGACCGGGAUGGACGGACCGCUGGUGUAUCUGUUGUUGUACCAACAGCAUGGCAGAGUAGCCAAGUCCGGCAGGGAUAAACGCUGAAGGCAUCUAAGCGUGAAGCCCCCCUCAAGAUAAGAUAUCCCAUCAUAAGAGUAAGACCCCUUGAAGACUACAAGGUUGAUAGGCUUGGAGUGUAAUCGUGGCAACACGUUCAGCUGACAAGUACUAAUAGGUCGAGGGCUUAUCCUU